UUAAACACAUUAGUAUUAGUCUUAGUCUUAGUCUGUCUGGGCUGCCAUAACCAAAAUACCAUAGACUGGAUGGGUUAUGAACAGCAGAAAUGUAUUUCUCACGGUUCUGGAGGCUGGAAGUCUGAGAUCUGGGUGCUAGCAUGGUUGAGUGAGGGUUCUCUUCUGAGUCACAGACUUCUCUCUGUGUCCUCACAUUGGCAGAACUGGCUGUGGAACGCUCUGGAAUCUCUUAUAAGUGCACUCAUUCUAUUCACUCUUAUGACUUGAUCAUUUCCCCAAGGCCCCACCUUCUAAACCAUCACCGUUGGGGACUGAGACUUCAACAUAUGAAAGCUGAGGGGACACUCAGACCACAGCAAUAUGUGAAGCACAAGCAAGCCUCACCGGCAGAACCCCCUAUGUGUCAGCUGUCUGUUGCAUUCAGCUGUGUAGCUUGAUCUUGGCUAAAUCCAUAUUCCUCCUUGGGAAAUUUUCCGAUUAGGUAUUCUUCUCCCAGCAGCCUCUCAAAUUUCUUCAUUCUGUGUGUUUUUCUACUUCCAGGAGGAGAAAGCAAAGAUACCUUUGGAAACUUCUGGAUGGGUUUGCACCAUCAUCAGAACUGCAUGAUAGUCAGGGAGAACCUCACAGAGCCAUCAAAGACAGUAACCAAUCAGUUAACAGUAACCAAACAGUCCCAGGAACCAAUCAGAAGCCAAGCCAUCCAUUCACAUCGGGGCUUCUGAUGUGAAUAGAGAUUCACUCAAGGUAUCUCAGGAAACUAGCGGAUUUCCUGUAAGAAGCAGACUCAAGAAGCCUGGAGAGCAGCCUGCAAGGGCUUUGGUCUUGCUGUUUCCGACUCAGCUCCACCUCCAUUACCUUCAGCCCCUCGCCAUCACCUUCAAUCAUCUAUUUCGCUCAUCUCCAAACCCUGGGGAGGAGUGUGGCCUUUGGACUUUGCUGGGUGUCAUUCCGCUUCCACUCUCCCGUUAUUGACCUACCAGCGGGCUAAAUUUUACUUCAUAUGUUUACAAACAUCAAUUCUUUGUGAUUUUUAAUAUUAUGUAUCACAAAGGAACUUAUAAUCAGUACCAUAAAUGGAAAGCCAGCAUUUUCCUGACAUACCUAAAGAAAAGCAUAACAAUUAAAAAAAUCUUAA